rnacentral:tRNA from 11 species
GUGGCCUCGUGGUUAAAACAUCCGUCUGGUAACCCGGAGGAUGCGGGUUCAAAUCCCG